AUGAGUAACGAUAAAGCGGGUGAGAAACCCGCUCGCCGUAAGCCUAAGGUUUCCUGAGUAAAGUUAAUCUGCUCAGGGUUAGUCGACCCCUAAGCCGAGGCCGAAAGGCGUAGGCGAUGGGAAACGGGUUAAUAUUCCCGUACCACCGAAUUGGCAUUUGAGUGAUGGGGGGACGCAGAAGGGUAGGUCAUCCACCUGUUGGAUGGUGGUUUAAGCUGGUAGGCGGAAAGGACAGGCAAAUCCGUUCUUUCAUUCAACGCCGAGAAGCGAAUACGAGAGACUUUGUCUCAUAAAGUGAUUGAUCCCAUACUGCCAAGAAAAGCCUCUAGCGAGUCGAUUAGGUGAUCGUACUGCAAACCGACACAGGUAGGCGGGGUGAGAAUCCCAAGGCGCUCGAGAGAACUCUGGUUAAGGAACUCGGCAAAUUUACACCGUAACUUCGGGAUAAGGUGUGCCUCCAUUAGGUGAAGAGAUUUACUUUUGGAGCUGAAGGAGGUUGCAGAGAAAUGGGGGUGGCGACUGUUUACUAAAAACAUAGGACUCUGCUAAGUCGCAAGACGAUGUAUAGGGUCUGACGCCUGCCCGGUGCUGGAAGGUUAAGGGGACUUGUUAUCCAUUCUUCGGAGUGGAGAAGCAUUGAACCGAAGCCCCAGUAAACGGCGGCCGUAACUAUAACGGUCCUAAGGUAGCGAAAUUCCUUGUCGGGUAAGUUCCGACCUGCACGAAUGGCGUAACGACUUCCCCACUGUCUCAACCAGAGGCUCGGUGAAAUUGAAUUCGCGGUGAAGAUGCCGCGUACCCGCGAAAAGACGGAAAGACCCCGUGAACCUUUACUAUAGCUUGACAUUGGAUUUUGGGCUAGUAUGUGUAGGAUAGGUGGGAGACUUUGAAACUUCGACGCCAGUCGGGGUGGAGUCACCCUUGAAAUACCACCCUUACUAGUUUAGGGUUCUAACCUUGGUCCGUUAUCCGGAUCGGGGACAGUGUCUGGUGGGUAGUUUGACUGGGGCGGUCGCCUCCCAAAGAGUAACGGAGGCGCGCGAUGGUUCCCUCAGGCUGAUUGGAAACCAGCCGAAGAGUGUAAAGGCAUAAGGGAGCUUGACUGUGAGAGAGACAUCUCGAACAGGUACGAAAGUAGGUCUUAGUGAUCCGGCGGUUCCGUAUGGAAGGGCCGUCGCUCAACGGAUAAAAGGUACUCCGGGGAUAACAGGCUUAUCGCGCCCAAGAGUUCACAUCGACGGCGCGGUUUGGCACCUCGAUGUCGGCUCAUCGCAUCCUGGGGCUGGAGCAGGUCCCAAGGGUUUGGCUGUUCGCCAAUUAAAGCGGUACGUGAGCUGGGUUUAGAACGUCGUGAGACAGUUCGGUCCCUAUCUUUCGUGGGCGUAGGAUAUUUGAGAGGAUCUUUCCCUAGUACGAGAGGACCGGGAUGGACGAACCUCUGGUGUUCCAGUUGUCGCGCCAGCGGCAUAGCUGGGUAGCUACGUUCGGAAUGGAUAACCGCUGAAAGCAUCUAAGUGGGAAGCCAACCUCAAGAUUAGAUAUCCCUAUCUUGUGGAGACACAAGAUCUGAAGACCCCUUGUAGACUACAAGGUUGAUAGGCCAGGUGUGUAAGUGCAGUAAUGCAUUUAGCUAACUGGUACUAAUAGGUCGUGAGGCUUGGCCAU
rnacentral:rRNA from 1 species